ACAGCUGACGGCAUUUCGCCGCAUCAGCCCGCUCGCGCAGGAGGGCUGGGCGCCAGGGUCACCUUCAUCUCGGGACCUCUGCCCACAGAGGUUUCGAGGCAGAGGCCCAGGCCUCGGGACAAAGGCAGUCGGGCCUCGCUGGCCUACAGCAGGCUCGAAGGCCGAUGGUGGGGUCCCAGGACCACCCGUGCCCCUCCGGUGCUGAGCCUGCUGCUCCAUGAGCCAGAGCUCAGUGCUGAGGGAGGAGCUACAGGGGCCCGAAAACUGCCUGCAGGGAGCACCAGCGCUCUCUGGAGACACCUCCUGGUCGGGGCGGAGCGGGGUCUCGGAGCGGCCAACUGCUCCAGUCCCAACCGUAAUGAUGCUUUGUUGCUGGGACACCGCAGGGAACCCAGACUGCUCGAGCAGGCGGCUGAGCGAGACCCCACGCGCACCAACGGUGGAGAGCAGCAAGCAGCGUGGGUGUUUGCAACAAUUCGCAAUUUACCAGGAGGCGUCACCCUCAGCAUGUGGUCUUCGCCCUGCUGCCCUUGGGGAAGACUGGUGCCGGAGCACAAGAUGCUGAAGGGCUGCAGACAAAAAGACUGCAGGGAAGGGCCCUUCCCUAACCAGGCCCUGGCCCUCCUCAACAGAGAAUCCUGCCAUGCCUCUGAGCAGCAAGGAUAUCAUGGGCUUACACAUGGACAGGGCAUGGACAGGGCAUGGACAGGGCAUGGACAGCCCACGUCAGAGGGAACUACCCCCCACCCCCUAUCCCAGGAGAGAAAGGAAUUAUCCUGGGUUCCUUCCCUUGUCUGGUAACACACUGCCAGGCCAGGGGGCUCCCACUGUCUCUGCCGUGUGGACUUGCGAAGAGGGUGCAAGCUGAGCAUGGACCCAGGAAAGCAGGUCUCACCCACGGGGCUGGCCCUCUUCCCUGGUCCUGCAGAGAAGUGCAGAAGGGAGCAAUCCUAGGAGACCUGGCUGCUGUGUCCAGGCAAAGGGCUGUGUCACCCUUACCCAGGGCUGGCUCAGUGACACCAAUCCUUCGAGCUGCCUUCUACUGAGGGUCUCCUGGAGCUGGUUGUUGCGGAUGGCCUCCCUGCCACACCUCCCUGUCCUGUACGUGUCACCCCACACGCGUGCUAGGCUCUCCCUACAGCGCCUCUCUGUGCCUCUCUGCUUUCUCUGGCUGCAAGAGCAGGCUCUGCCUGUGGGAGGCAGUAUAGGUGCUGGGAUGCCCUGACCGCAGCAACAGGAUGGGUGGAUAAAUCCCCAGCAACCUCACCUCUAGGAGCCAGGAUCCUUGGAGUCUUCCCCAGGCUCUCCGUGGGCCUGAGCUCCAAGUGCCCAAAGCUAAACUUCUCCUUAAUUCAGCUCAUCCAUCUGCCUUCCCUUCCUGUCUGGCUCCCCCAACCUCAUCCAGGGCCCACUGGAGUCCUUUCCCAAAUAAAUUAUUCAGCCCCCAAUCUUUAUCUGGAGCCUGCUUCUGGGGAGCCCAGCCUAAAUCACUUUCCUUGUCCUUAGUCCACUCAGUGCUCACAUCACCCCUCCUUUUAACCCGCAGGAAGAGGACACAGAAGCUCAGCGAAGUUCAGUUUGAACGCAGAUCUAGGAGCCCAUGCCCUGCAGUUCAGGCACCUAUGCCUUCUGGCCUCAGUGUUCCCAUCCGUUAAGUAGGUUUUGCUUCCUUCCACACAUUCGCAAGCCAGGACGCCCAGGCCCCACUCGGAACUUCCAGGCCUGCCUGCUCUGUGCUCUACACCAGCACAGCCUCAACUGCCAAAGGUGAACACAGCUGAUGAUUUCAAGUUCAGAAAGCGCAUCUCUCCCAAGAUGGCAAACUCUCAAGAAGGGACAGUAUCUUCAUUACCUCUCCUUUCCCACCUUCUGGCCAGCACAGAACUAGGUACAAAAUUGAUGCUGAUUCACCUCAGUGAUAGGGGUGGCUCUUGUGAAAAGAUUUAAUGCCCGCAAGGAUAUCUGAAGUCCUCAGGUUGGGAUCAAUGGCAUGAUGCAAGAAACAAAUAAUUACCGGGCCCCAGAGAACAACUGUCUCACAGUUCGGCCUAUUCAAAGUGACUCUCCAUUGCUGACACAAUCAAAGAAAAUCAGGGUGGCCCUCACAUUCCACCCAAGCUCAAAAGAUAAACCUUGCCUCCCCAGUAAGCACCCACUGAGAGCAGACCAAGAUGGUAGCCUCAGCCUUCUGGGAACAACAGCUCUUCCCCACAAACGUGGCUUGGGCAGAGUUGUCAGAUGCUAGUACCUUCACAGUCCCUUAUGAAUUUGGGAGAUAAGCUCCUGCCUCUCCUUCUCCCCAUGGAAAUCAGUCACCCCAGAGGGAAGAAGGUUUGCAAGAAUCCCUCUAGUCUGGCCAGUCCACAUGCUCAGGAUGAAGGGACUCACUUCCGGGCCUGAGGCAAGGGUCCUGUGCUGUGCUGAGAUGUUCCCUGGGAAAAACCAGAUGGCUCCUCUCUGCUGCCUGUGCAGUUGUUAGGAGUGCAGAUUCUGGAGCUAGAUGGAUGAGAUUCUGAUCCCAGCUUUGGUACUACCUUGCUGGGCAACCUUGAACAAGUCACCCAACCUCUCUGCAUUCUAUAAAAUGGGGUAACGCUAACACCCGCCUGUUGGCAUUCAUGAGUGGAUACAUAUAAAAUACGGGGACAUGGCCAGGUGUACAAACAGUGCUGAAAAAAUGUUGGCUCUUCCUGCUGUGGUUACUAUGAUUACCGUUACAUCUUAGGUAGUAUGGGAUGCUUCUCUCUGAGGUCCUUUCUAGAUUUAAAGUACUACAAUGACAUGAAAAGGGAACUAGCACUCCAGGUAGGUGUAUCUGGAAUGGCCUCCAGAUUCCACAGGUUCCAGAAGUUCCUGAAAUUCUUGGGGCCCAGUGCAUCCACUUGGUGAAAGCUAAAGAGUCCAUCUCGCUAUGGAAAAACACACAUUCUCCCAUUUCAGCAUUUAUCCUGACCCCCUGUGGUGAGUUCAGUGGUGGCCCACACAAGUUCUGUCCACAUCCUAACCACUGGUGCUCACGAAUAUGACCGACUGAGAAAAGGAUCUUUGCAGGGUUAUCCACGUGAGCCAGCCCCACACCCAGCAGUAAGGAUGCUUAGAAGAGAUGGAAGGUGGUGUGACUCAGGAA
ensembl:lincRNA